GGCCGGUUGGCGCAAUGGUAGCGCGUGGCCCUCCUAAGGCCAAGGUUGCGCGUUCGAGUCGCGUGCUGGUCG
rfam:Pyrenophora teres f. teres 0-1 contig_003254, whole genome shotgun sequence.